rnacentral:rRNA from 1 species
AGAGUUUGAUCCUGGCUCAGGAUGAACGCUGGCGGCGUGCUUAACACAUGCAAGUCGAACGAACCUUCGGGUUAGUGGCGGACGGGUGAGUAACGCGUGAGAAUCUGCCCUCAGGAGGGGGAUAACGGUUGGAAACGACCGCUAAUACCCCAUAUGCCGAUAGGUGAAAUGAAUUUCGCCUGAGGAUGAGCUCGCGUCUGAUUAGCUUGUUGGUGAGGUAAUGGCUCACCAAGGCUUCGAUCAGUAGCUGGUCUGAGAGGAUGAUCAGCCACACUGGGACUGAGACACGGCCCAGACUCCUACGGGAGGCAGCAGUGGGGAAUUUUCCGCAAUGGGCGAAAGCCUGACGGAGCAACGCCGCGUGAGGGACGAAGGCCUCUGGGCUGUAAACCUCUUUUCUCAAGGAAGAAGAUAUGACGGUACUUGAGGAAUAAGCCACGGCUAAUUCCGUGCCAGCAGCCGCGGUAAUACGGGAGUGGCAAGCGUUAUCCGGAAUUAUUGGGCGUAAAGCGUCCGCAGGCGGCCUUUCAAGUCUGCUGUUAAAGAGUGGAGCUUAACUCCAUCAUGGCAGUGGAAACUGAUCGGCUUGAGUAUGGUAGGGGCAGAGGGAAUUCCCGGUGUAGCGGUGAAAUGCGUAGAUAUCGGGAAGAACACCAGUGGCGAAGGCGCUCUGCUGGGCCAUUACUGACGCUCAUGGACGAAAGCCAGGGGAGCGAAAGGGAUUAGAUACCCCUGUAGUCCUGGCCGUAAACGAUGAACACUAGGUGUCGGGGGAAUCGACCCCUUCGGUGUCGUAGCUAACGCGUUAAGUGUUCCGCCUGGGGAGUACGCACGCAAGUGUGAAACUCAAAGGAAUUGACGGGGGCCCGCACAAGCGGUGGAGUAUGUGGUUUAAUUCGAUGCAACGCGAAGAACCUUACCAGGGUUUGACAUCCUGAGAACCUCUUAGAAAUUUGAGGGUGCCUUCGGGAAUUCAGUGACAGGUGGUGCAUGGCUGUCGUCAGCUCGUGUCGUGAGAUGUUGGGUUAAGUCCCGCAACGAGCGCAACCCACGUUUUUAGUUGCCAGCAUUUAGUUGGGCACUCUAGAAAGACCGCCGGUGAUAAACCGGAGGAAGGUGUGGAUGACGUCAAGUCAUCAUGCCCCUUACACCCUGGGCUACACACGUACUACAAUGCUACGGACAAAGGGCAGCAAACUCGCGAGAGCUAGCAAAUCCCAUAAACCGUGGCUCAGUUCAGAUCGUAGGCUGCAACUCGCCUACGUGAAGUAGGAAUCGCUAGUAAUCGCAGGUCAGCAUACUGCGGUGAAUACGUUCCCGGGCCUUGUACACACCGCCCGUCACACCAUGGAAGUUGGCCAUGCCCGAAGUCGUUACUCCAACCCUUGUGGAGGAGGACGCCGAAGGUGGGGCUAAUGACUGGGGUGAAGUCGUAACAAGGUAGCCGUACCGGAAGGUGCGGCUG